rnacentral:lncRNA from 1 species
UCAGGGUCUGGGCGGCGUUGGGGUAAGACGUGCUACUAGGAUAACACCGGAUGUUUAUACCAGAAAUGAACAAACCAUCACAUCUUUCUUUCCAUCCUCUAUCUGUCUCUCCAGAGCCUGCCGUACUCAGCAUGUUGGUGAAGUGAUAGCUAGAUAAAUAAAAAUGCCGGAGUCCUGCUAUCACUGGUCAGGGGAAGAGGUGAAUGUCAUCGUCUCAAUAUGGUCAGACAAGGCAAUACUGCGUGCAUUACGUUCGUCUGACUCUGAGUAUCGAGGUGCCGCCAAGGUGUACCAUGAGAUCUUGGUGCGCCUUCGCAAAUUAGGUUAUAAGGGAACCGUCCAGUAAUGUCGUGACAAACUAAAAAAACUAAAGGGUCAGUACAAAGAAAUUAAGGCAAACGGUUCCGACCGCCGGAGUUAUUUUCCACCAUCAUGGUUCUAUGCCAUGGACGCUGUACUGGGACAGCAACUCAGAAAGCCAGUACUGAGAAGUGGCAAAGCCACCGUAUCACAAAAAAACGACAAAUCUUCAUUCAGUUGGACACCUGACGAGGUCCAUGGUCUCCUUGUUCACCAACCAGGAACUUUAGGGUCUGAGGCGGUAAAUUCAUCUACUAUGCUGCUGGAGCCGACUCAACCUGAUUGCCCUGUAGAAGAGGAACAUUCUGAGGAAUCUGGAUACCACUGGUCGUCAAAGGAGGUUCAGGCAUUGUUAACACUCUGGGCAGAUGGUAGUGUUCAGAAGCAGCUUCUCUCCUAUAAAAACGAGCACGUCUAUACCAAAUUGAGUUCAGAGCUUGCUGCCUUCGGAUUUAACAAGACAUCUAAACAGUGCAGAGACAAACUAAAAAAUCUGAAACAGGAAUACAAAAAAAAUCAAGGAUAACAAUAGUGGUUCCAACCAUCAUGGAGAAAGAUGGUUUGCCAUCAUCGAUAGUGUCCUCUGUCACUAACCAAGUACUUUGGAGUCUGGGAUGAUACAUUCAGAUCCAAAGCCUUUGGAAUCGACUCAACCUGAUUCCCCUCAAGAAAUUGAGGAUUCUGGUUGGUUGUCUCGUACGGCAUCUCGUACACGUUUUUUACACAGGAACUUGCCUGUUACCUCAAGCUCGGUUGUUAAUAUCGAUUAUGUGAGAACUGUCAAUUGAGCUGUUGCUUCCACAGAUCAAUCUGCAUCCAGUUGGACACCUGAUGAGGUCCAUGGACUCCUUGGUCACCAACCAGGAACUUCAGGGGCUAAGGUGAUAAAUUCUGCUACUAUGCUGCUGGAGUUGACUCAAGCGUAUUCCCUGUAAAAGAGGAACCUUAUGGUAAGUUAUCUAGUACAGUCUUUCUCAACCUUUUAUGUACCAGGAAUUAGUAAUAUUUGUUUAUUUUCCAUGGGAGAUUGCUUGGAUUGUAACUAGCUUACUACUACUAGCUAACUAAGCCAAUGUCUCUGCUAACCAUCUGAGGGACCAGCCAGUAUUAGACAGAAGUUGAAAAACACUUAUCUAGUACCGUAAUUUCCGGACUAUUAAGCGCACCUGAAUAUAAGCGCACUGAAUUAAAAAAUAUAUAUAUUAUUUUGAACAUAAAUAAGCCGCACAUGUCUAUAAGCCGCAGGUGCCUACCGGUACAUUGAAACAAAUGAACUUUACACAGGCUUUAACGAAACACGGCUUGUAACAAAAAUAAAUAGGCUUCAACGAAACACGGCUUGUAACAAAAAGAAAUAGGCUUUAACGAAACACGGCUUGUAACAAAAAAUAAAAAAUUUGCAGUAAGCUUUAAGUCAAUUCUCAGCUCGUUACCUGUAUAAAAGACACCUGGGAGCCAGAAAUCCUUCUGAUUGAGAGGGGGUCAAAUACUUAUUUCCCUCAUUAAAAUGCAAAUCAUUUUAUAACCUUUUUGACAUGGAUUUUUCAGGAUUUUUUUGUUGUUAUUCUGUCUCUCACUGUUAAAAAGAACCUACUAUUAAAAUUAUAGACUGAUCAUUUCUUUGUAAGUGGGCAAACGUACAAAAUCAGCAGGGGAUCAAAUACUUUUUUCCCCCACUGUACUAUGUUGCUGGAGUCGACCCAAUCCGAUUCCCCGGAAGAAGUGGAAGUUGUCUAGUACAUCAUCAUCUGAGGGACCAGUCAGCAACAGCCAGAAGAUGAGAAAUACUGAUCUAGUAGCUACACGUUUUUCAUAAACAGUACCUUAAGCUUGCUAGCUAGUAUUGUUUUCCAGUUUCUGACUGCUUUCAACUGAUGCGGUUCUUUCACAGAGGAAUCUGGAUACUGCUGGACUUUGCAGGAGGUUCACACAUUGUUAACACUCUGGGCAGAUGAGAGAGUUCAGAAGCAGCUUCGCUCUUAUAAAAAUGAGCACAUCUAUGCCAAAUUUAGUUCAGAGUUCGCAGCCCUCGGAUUUAACAGGACGUCGAAGCAAUGCAGAGAAAAGUUUAAAAAGCUGAAACAGGAAUACAGAAAACUCAAGGAUGACGACAACAUGAGUGGUUCCAUCUAUCUUGAAGAAAGCUGUUUUGCCAUCAUCGAUAGUGUCCUCACAAACCAAACAAAAGCUCAGGCUUAUUCUUUGCCAGGUGCAGAAGACUAUGGCAUGUUAACUUUUACUGUGUACAUUUUUGUAGUUUGUGUGAGGGCUUUCACUGUGGUGACUGGCUGGCUAAAUAGCUAGUUGCUGAUACUGGCUAGUUUCCUAAUCUCCUGCUAGAUAAAAAUAUAUAUAACUCACCUACAGUAUUUUAAAUAUGCCAUUGGUUUUUACUCUAUAAUAUGUUAUUGUUUGUGUUUCCCAACGUAGGUCCCGGUUUACCUCUAUCCUCACUGCGUCUCCAUGCUCCACCAUUACACUUGAUGUCAGCAUUCAUGUGGCAAGUGGCUCAGCAGUGUCAUGACGUUGCCCUCUUUGGGUACAGCGAGCACCAUCCCCCUCUCCCUCUCUAUACCCCUUUCACCAAGCUCUGUAAGAGAGGUCGUAAAUUCCUAGAGAAGAUCCUGCCUCAUGGCUAGACAGUAUAGAGAGAGUGAGUUUCAUAGAGAGAACAAAGGAAUUUCUUCCACCUCACAGAACUGAGAACCGAACGACAUUUAUGUUCUGGAGAAUGUAUAACAGAUCAGUGAAGAAUCCAGCUACGAACUGGUCCAUUUGGUACAAUUUUGUGAAACUCAUGGGAGAGACAUUACCAUAACGCUGUUUAUACAAUAGCCUCAGCUAUGAGGCGUACAUCUAAUUGUUGUAUAAAAUGAAUGAGUGGGGAUGGAACUGUUUGUGAAAUUGUGUAAUGUGAUUUUGGACUGUUUAAUGAAGGAAACUCCAAUUCCCUUUGGAGUUUAACUAAAUCAGAGGACCACCCAUGAGAACAGUUAUGGUCUGGCGUCAUGGGACAGACCCUUUUCUGCUCUUCCGAAUAAAACCCCCACCUAGGUUUUCUAUCACCAGACCAGCUUACCUCGAUAACGAGAGGGCCAAGGUUUGAGAGGAGACCAGCUUACCUCGAUAACGAGAGGGCCAAGAUUUGAGAGGAGACCAGGUUACCUCGAUAACGAGAGGGCCAAGGCUUGAGAGGAGACCAGCUUACCUCGAUAACGAGAGGGCCAAGGUUUGAGAGAAGACCGAGCUUACCUCAAUUACGAGAUGGCUAUAGGUUGUAGACCAUGCAUUUCUUUUGCUGAACUUUUAACCAUACCACGUGGUUAACCUCUAUGGGCUAGGUGGGACGUGCGUCCCACCUACGUAACAGCCACUGCCAGCCUGUGGCGCGAUUUUCAAAACCUUAAAAAUCCUAUUACUUCAAUUUCUCAAACAUAUGACUAUUUUACAGCCAUUUAAAGACAAGACUCUCGUUAAUCUAACCACACUGUCCGAUUUCAAAAAGGCUUUACAACGAAAGCAAAACAUUAGAUUAUGUCAGCAGAGUACCAAGCCAGAAAUAAUCAGACACCCAUUUUUCAAGCCAGCAUAUAAUGUCACCAAAACCCAGAAGACAGCUAAAUGCAGCACUCACCUUUGAUGAUCUUCAUCAGAUGACAACCCUAGGACAUUAUGUUAUACAAUACAUGCAUGUUUUGUUCAAUCAAG